rnacentral:rRNA from 1 species
UACGGAGGGUGCGAGCGUUAUCCGGAAUUACUGGGCGUAAAGGGCGCGUAGGCGGUCUUUUAAGUUCCGUGUGAAAUCCCUCGGCUCAACUGGGGAACUGCACGGGAAACUGGAAGGCUUGAGUUCGGGAGAGGGAAGCGGAAUUCCGGGUGUAGCGGUGAAAUGCGUAGAUAUCUGGAGGAACACCGGUGGCGAAGGCGGCAUCCUGGACCGGCAUUGACGCUGAGGCGGCGAAAAGCUAGG